GGUAAUACGUAGGUGGCAAGCGUUGUCCGGAUUUAUUGGGCGUAAAGGGAACGCAGGCGGUCUUUUAAGUCUGAUGUGAAAGCCUUCGGCUUAACCGGAGUAGUGCAUUGGAAACUGGAAGACUUGAGUGCAGAAGAGGAGAGUGGAACUCCAUGUGUAGCGGUGAAAUGCGUAGAUAUAUGGAAGAACACCAGUGGCGAAAGCGGCUCUCUGGU
rnacentral:rRNA from 1 species